UCCUUUAGGUGCCACUCAGGGAAACAGAAGGGGAGGGCCUCAGUAGCUCCCACUUCUUUCCCAGCCCACAUUUGGAAGCAACCGGCACCCACGCAGGUUCUGGAACUUGCCAAGAGUCCGGGAGUAAAGGAAGGACAAGCUUAAAGCUAAGGAAGGCCUUGCUAGUGAGAUAGUGGAAGACACCAGCCUGCUGGAGAAGGCCUUCGCUGGACUCCAGGGGCAAGACCAGCAGCUUGGCAGUACUGAGUUGUUUCCAAUGGGCAGACUGCUGUGGGUGAUAUUAAGAGGUUUAGUUAGCAGGUGGGGGUGAGGUUGAUCAUUUCACCCCUCCACCUCCCACCCUGCACCAGUGCUCGGGGCGAUGAAGUGUGGCUCCCCC
rnacentral:lncRNA from 1 species